rnacentral:rRNA from 2 species
UACGUAGGAUCCAAGCGUUGUCCGGAUUUACUGGGUGUAAAGGGUGCGUAGGCGGACUCGUGCGUUAGGGGUUAAAUACUUCGGCUCAACCGAAGAAAUGCCUUUAAUACGGCGAGUCUUGAGUGCGAGAGAGGAUAGUAGAAUUCCUGGUGUAGCGGUGAAAUGCGUAGAUAUCAGGAGGAAUACCAGUGGCGAAGGCGGCUAUCUGGCUCGUAACUGACGCUGAGGCACGAAAGCGUGGGGAGCAAACAGG